rnacentral:rRNA from 1 species
UGGGGAAUAUUGGACAAUGGGCGAAAGCCUGAUCCAGCAACGCCGCGUGAGGGAUGACGGCCUUCGGGUUGUAAACCUCUUUCAGCAGGGACGAAGCGCAAGUGACGGUACCUGCAGAAGAAGCACCGGCCAACUACGUGCCAGCAGCCGCGGUAAUACGUAGGGUGCAAGCGUUGUCCGGAAUUAUUGGGCGUAAAGGGCUCGUAGGCGGUCUGUCGCGUCAGGAGUGAAAACUCGGGGCUUAACCCCGAGCCUGCUUCUGAUACGGGCAGACUAGAGGUAUGCAGGGGAGAACGGAAUUCCUGGUGUAGCGGUGAAAUGCGCAGAUAUCAGGAGGAACACCGGUGGCGAAGGCGGUUCUCUGGGCAUUACCUGACGCUGAGGAGCGAAAGUGUGGGGAGCGAACA